AACGAACGCUGGCGGCAGGCCUAACACAUGCAAGUCGAGCGCCCCUUUCGGGGGGAGGCGGCGGACGGGUGAGUAACGCGUGGGAACGUACCCUUUGCUACGGAAUAGCCUCGGGAAACUGGGAGUAAUACCGUAUGUGCCCUUCGGGGGAAAGGAUUUAUCGGCAAAGGAUCGGCCCGCGUUGGAUUAGGUAGUUGGUGGGGUAAUGGCCUACCAAGCCGACGAUCCAUAGCUGGUUUGAGAGGAUGAUCAGCCACACUGGGACUGAGACACGGCCCAGACUCCUACGGGAGGCAGCAGUGGGGAAGUCUUAGACAAUGGGCGCAAGCCUGAUCUAGCCAUGCCGCGUGAGCGAUGAAGGCCUUAGGGUUGUAAAGCUCUUUCAGGGGGGAAGAUAAUGACUGUACCCCCAGAAGAAGCCCCGGCUAACUCCGUGCCAGCAGCCGCGGUAAUGUACAGUGU
rnacentral:rRNA from 1 species